rnacentral:rRNA from 1 species
UACAGAGGUCUCAAGCGUUGUUCGGAUUCAUUGGGCGUAAAGCGCACGUAGGCGGCUACUCAAGUCGGGGGUGAAAGCCCGGGGCUCAACCCCGGAACUGCCCUCGAAACUAGGUAGCUAGAAUCUUGGAGAGGUCAGUGGAAUUCCGAGUGUAGAGGUGAAAUUCGUAGAUAUUCGGAAGAACACCAGUGGCGAAGGCGACUACCUGGCCUGUUCUUGACGCUGAGGCGCGAAAGCUAGGGGAGCAAACGGG